AUACAUGCAAGUCGAACGCUUUUUCUUUCACCGGAGCUUGCUCCACCGAAAGAAAAAGAGUGGCGAACGGGUGAGUAACACGUGGGUAACCUGCCCAUCAGAAGGGGAUAACACUUGGAAACAGGUGCUAAUACCGUAUAACACUAUUUUCCGCAUGGAAGAAAGUUGAAAGGCGCUUUUGCGUCACUGAUGGAUGGACCCGCGGUGCAUUAGCUAGUUGGUGAGGUAACGGCUCACCAAGGCAACGAUGCAUAGCCAACCUGAGAGGGUGAUCGGCCACACUGGGACUGAGACACGGCCCAGACUCCUACGGGAGGCAGCAGUAGGGAAUCUUCGGCAAUGGACGAAAGUCUGACCGAGCAACGCCGCGUGAGUGAAGAAGGUUUUCGGAUCGUAAAACUCUGUUGUUAGAGAAGAACAAGGAUGAGAGUAAAAUGUUCAUCCCUUGACGGUAUCUAACCAGAAAGCCACGGCUAACUACGUGCCAGCAGCCGCGGUAAUACGUAGGUGGCAAGCGUUGUCCGGAUUUAUUGGGCGUAAAGCGAGCGCAGGCGGUUUCUUAAGUCUGAUGUGAAAGCCCCCGGCUCAACCGGGGAGGGUCAUUGGAAACUGGGAGACUUGAGUGCAGAAGAGGAGAGUGGAAUUCCAUGUGUAGCGGUGAAAUGCGUAGAUAUAUGGAGGAACACCAGUGGCGAAGGCGGCUCUCUGGUCUGUAACUGACGCUGAGGCUCGAAAGCGUGGGGAGCGAACAGGAUUAGAUACCCUGGUAGUCCACGCCGUAAACGAUGAGUGCUAAGUGGUUGGAAGGGUUUCCGCCCUUCAGUGCUGCAGCAAACGCAUUAAGCACUCCGCCUGGGGAGUACGACCGCAAGGUUGAAACUCAAAGGAAUUGACGGGGGCCCGCACAAGCGGUGGAGCAUGUGGUUUAAUUCGAAGCAACGCGAAGAACCUUACCAGGUCUUGACAUCCUUUGACCACUCUAGAGAUAGAGCUUCCCCUUCGGGGGCAAAAUGACAAGUGGGG
rnacentral:rRNA from 1 species